rnacentral:rRNA from 1 species
GACGAACCGUGCGAACGUUAUUCGGAAUCACUGGGCUUAAAGCGCGUGUAGGCGGAUGGGUGCGUCGGCUUCUGAAAGCCCCCGGCUCAACCGGGGAAGUGGGGCCGAAACGACCCGUCUGGAGGGACGUAGGGGGAUCUGGAACUUCCGGUGGAGCGGUGAAAUGCGUUGAGAUCGGAAGGAACGCCCGUGGCGAAAGCGCACGACUGGUCCUCUUCUGACGCUGAGGCGCGAAAGCCAGGGGAGCAAACGGG